UGACGAAGGGGGCUAGCGUUGUUCGGAUUUACUGGGCGUAAAGCGCACGUAGGCGGAUCGUUAAGUCGGGGGUGAAAUCCUGGAGCUCAACUCCAGAACUGCCUUCGAUACUGGCGAUCUAGAGUCCGGAAGAGGUGAGUGGAACUGCGAGUGUAGAGGUGAAAUUCGUAGAUAUUCGCAAGAACACCAGUGGCGAAGGCGGCUCACUGGCCCGAUCUGACGCUGAGGCACGAAAGCGUGGGGAGCAAACAGG
rnacentral:rRNA from 1 species